AACGAACGCUGGCGGCGUGCCUAACACAUGCAAGUCGAGCGCGAACGACCCCUUCGGGGGACUAGUAGAGCGGCGGACGGGUGAGUAAGACGUGGAUAAUCUGCCUUCGAGAUCGGGAUAACCCCGCGAAAGUGGGGCUAAUACCGGAUAAGACCACAUGACCCAGGUCGUGCGGUAAAAGGUGGCUUGUAUUCGUACAUGCUAUCACUUGAAGAUGAGUCCACGGCCUAUCAGCUUGUUGGUGAGGUAAAAGCUUACCAAGGCUAUGACGGGUAGCUGGUCUGAGAGGACGACCAGCCACACUGGGACUGAGACACGGCCCAGACUCCUACGGGAGGCUG
rnacentral:rRNA from 1 species